rnacentral:rRNA from 1 species
AAUUAUUAUUAGAUUUUUAAAUAAUUAUUCACGAAAUAAAUUGAGCUAAAUUUUUGGUAUUUUUGGAAAUUAUAACUAUAUGUUACAAAAUAUAUUAACUAAAUAGAUUUAGGGGUGAAAGGCCUAUCAAAUUUUAUGAUAUCUUGAAGUAUAUAAAAUAUAUCAAGUAUUUCUAAUUCAACUAUUGAAUGUUUAGGUUCAAUAGUAACAUUAUAUUUUUUAAAAAAUUGUUCAAUUUUUUUAAGUAAAAUUGAGUUAGAGCAUAAAAUAUACAUCAAAUUUUUAUUAUAUGAAUAUAAAUAUACUACGGUUAUUAAUAAAUAUAAUCAUAUAUAAUGUAAUUAUUAGUAAUAGUUUAUUAAACUAUAUAAAGGAAUUCGGCAAGAAAAUUUUUCACCUGUUUAUCAAAAACAUAGCUUAUUGAAUAUCAUAAUAAGUAACCCCUGCUCAAUGGAAAUCUAAAUAGCCGCAGUACCUUGACUGUGCAAAGGUAGCAUAAUCAAUUGGCUUAUAAUUGAAGUCUGGAAUGAAUGGGUAAUCUGGAAAAUAACUGUCUUUAUUUGUAGUAUUUUGAAUUUACUUAUAAAGUGAAAAUACUUUAAAUAUAAAUAUAAGACGAGAAGACCCUAGAAAUUUUUUGUUAAUAACUUUUGUUGGGGCGACAGGGUAACAUAUAAACUUACUUACAUUUAUAUAAAUCUUAUAAGGUACGUAACUAAAUUACUCUAGGGAUAACAGCAUAAUAUAUAAAAGUUUAUGACCUCGAUGUUGGACUAGGUAAUUAAAUAUUUAAAAGAUAUCUUAAUUUGCUCUGUUCGAGCAGUAUCACCUACAU